CACCUGGAAGUUGACGCACAUUCACCCACUCAGCAAAGGAAAACAGCAUAAAAGGUAGCCAGAGGUGCGGGCGCAGGAUUGAGCCUCGUAUGGGAUCUGCAGUGAGCACCAACAACAACUGCUAAUCAAGCACCACCAACAGGCAGAUGGAUACAAGAGCCCUGGCAGAGGCAGCCCUCCUCAGGUUACUGGGUCUGCUUCCAGUCUAGCGCUCACAACCAUCAUCUGGGGAAGCACCUCCUGCGGAGAAGGGAACAGCUACUGCCCCUCACAAGACAGGACCUUUCCUUCUGACUUGAAGCUGAAACCUCCCCAC